rnacentral:rRNA from 1 species
CUGGCGGCAUGCCUUACACAUGCAGGUCGAACGGCAGCGCGGACUUCGGUCUGGCGGCGAGUGGCGAACGGGUGAGUAAUGCAUCGGAACGUACCUUUCAGUGGGGGAUAACGUAGCGAAAGUUACGCUAAUACCGCAUAUUCUGUGAGCAGGAAAGCAGGGGAUCGCAAGACCUUGCGCUGAUGGAGCGGCCGAUGUCAGAUUAGCUAGUUGGUGGGGUAAAGGCUCACCAAGGCGACGAUCUGUAGCGGGUCUUAGAGGAUGAUCCGCCACACUGGAACUGAGACACGGUCCAGACUCCUACGGGAGGCAGCAGUGGGGAAUUUUGGACAAUGGGCGCAAGCCUGAUCCAGCCAUGCCGCGUGAGUGAAGAAGGCCUUCGGGUUGUAAAGCUCUUUCGGCCGGGAAAAAAUCGCUUGGGUUAAUACCCUGAGUGGAUGAUGGUACCGGAAUAAGAAGCACCGGCUAACUACGUGCCAGCAGCCGCGGUAAUACGUAGGGUGCGAGCGUUAAUCGGAAUUACUGGGCGUAAAGCGUGCGCAGGCGGUUUUGUAAGACAGGCGUGAAAUCCCCGGGCUCAACCUGGGAACUGCGUUUGUGACUGCAAGGCUAGAGUAUGGCAGAGGGGGGUGGAAUUCCACGUGUAGCAGUGAAAUGCGUAGAGAUGUGGAGGAACACCAAUGGCGAAGGCAGCCCCCUGGGCCAAUACUGACGCUCAUGCACGAAAGCGUGGGGAGCAAACAGGAUUAGAUACCCUGGUAGUCCACGCCCUAAACGAUGUCAACUAGGUGUUGGGUGGGUAAAACCAUUUGGUACCGUAGCUAACGCGUGAAGUUGACCGCCUGGGGAGUACGGCCGCAAGGUUAAAACUCAAAGGAAUUGACGGGGACCCGCACAAGCGGUGGAUGAUGUGGAUUAAUUCGAUGCAACGCGAAAAACCUUACCUACCCUUGACAUGCCAGGAACUUGCCAGAGAUGGCUUGGUGCCCGAAAGGGAGCCUGGACACAGGUGCUGCAUGGCUGUCGUCAGCUCGUGUCGUGAGAUGUUGGGUUAAGUCCCGCAACGAGCGCAACCCUUGUCGUUAAUUGCCAUCAUUUAGUUGGGCACUUUAACGAGACUGCCGGUGACAAACCGGAGGAAGGUGGGGAUGACGUCAAGUCCUCAUGGCCCUUAUGGGUAGGGCUUCACACGUCAUACAAUGGUCGGUACG